AAUCAACGCUGGCGGCGUGCCUAACACAUGCAAGUCGAACGCGAGAGGGGCUUCGGCCCUGAUUGAGUGGCAAACGGGUGAGUAACGCGUGGGUGACCUACCUUCGAGUGGGGGAUAACGUUCCGAAAGGGACGCUAAUACCGCAUAACAUCCUGUCUUUGGACAGAUGGAGAUCAAAGCCGGGGAUCGUAAGACCUGGCGCUUGAGGAGGGGCCCGCGUCCGAUUAGCUAGUUGGUGGGAAUGGCUCACCAAGGCAACGAUCGGUAGCCGGCCUGAGAGGGCGGACGGCCACACUGGGACUGAGACACGGCCCAGACUCCUACGGGAGGCAGCAGUGGGGAAUUGUUCGCAAUGGGCGCAAGCCUGACGACGCAACGCCGCGUGAAGGAUGAAGGUCUUCGGGAUUGUAAACUUCUGUUGAUCGGGACGAACAGCCAAGGGAUCAAUACCCCUUUGGCCUGACGGUACCGAGUUGAGGAACGCCCCGGCUAACUCUGUGCCAGCAGCCGCGGUAAC
rnacentral:rRNA from 1 species